rnacentral:ncRNA from 2 species
AAGAUGUAUGCUCAUGCUCGCUGCCGCCGCAGGGGAAUCCGGUGCGAAUCCGGAACUGUCCCGCAACGGUGUACUUGUGCACCUCCGUCCCUGGACGGGGUGUGUACGAGGUCCAGUCCGAGGACCUGCCGACAGCGCGCCCGACCA